GCCCUCGUAGCUCAGUGGUAGAGCAGUCGCUUCGUAAGCGACGGGUCGGGAGUUCGAAUCUCCCCGUGGGCUUCA
rnacentral:tRNA from 1 species